UUCAACUUUCGAUAAGCUUGCAAAACGUUUCAAUUAUUGAUCCAUUAAACCGUUUCAAAAGGCAAUGGUACAAUCUAUCAUUGAGCAGAACAAUGACACUUUUGUGAGUGCAAAGACAUGAUCGGGAAAGUCUCUGUGUUUUCAAGGGUUUAGUGAACUUGGUGAUUGUUUUGGUAUUUUGCUGAUGGAGAAACAAGUUUGGGAAUUAGACAGAUUUCUUCCACUUACAUAGAUCAGCAAAAAUGGGGAUAUUCGUAGAGGAAAAUAUCUGUAUUCUGUUCGACGAAGUACACACUGUCAUGGGUAUAUGACAAGAAAAAGAAAGAUGUGUUUCAUCCAGUGUUCACAGGGGUUGAAGAGCUUUGCUAGCACUUACAGCAAGAGCUAGUCCAACAGAUUGUGCCAAAUACUGUAAACAUUGUGUACUAAGUACAUGUAUAAAAUAACCAUUAGAAAUAGUACAGUUGAACUCCAAGGCAUAAAACAUAGAAGAAAUCAGUGAUCAAAGUAUCUGUGGAUCUGAAAGCCUCUUGUAAGUGGGAAGUAAAUGUUAUGAACAAAGACUUAUAAUGUGAUUUACAUGCAUUUACAGAAGAUAAAAUAAGGAUUUUUGACCUUGUUUAUUUAUUUUAAAAUAAAAUUUGGGAUGGAGAAUUAUGUGACAUAUUACUACAGCAAAGAUCAAAUCAAAUCAUCAAUCAGAGCCAAAUAGCAGUCUUAAAGUCUUCACCACUGCAAAAAUGUUGAAAUAUGGUUAGACUUCAAUACUUGUACAGUAUGGACCAUCAUCAGUAUAUGAUCAGAUACCUGCAUUCAACAUAGAGAUUAAGUUUAAGUUGUGUUGGAACACUUUCUCAUGGAAUGCUUUAAUUACUUUAUAGUAUGUGUAAUUUCAGGUCAAGGUUUUGCCCAGGUUUUGCCCAAAAUGUUAAGUUUUGUGAAAGGCGACAGCCUUAUGGUGACAAAUUCAUGAAAACUACAUAUGUAUUGGUGCUGCAAGUUGUGACCUUUAUCAAAAAGAUGUAAUGAUGGAAAUUUUACUGGUCAUAUGAAAUACAUGUGCAUGUGCAAUUUAAAUUAUAUAUUAAAUCAGAAUCUUUAGUUUCCUAUCAACACUCACAUCAAAUGGCUGUACUUAGGUUUAAAAUUCUGGCAUCAUUUUCCAUGAAAUUUAGAUCUUUUCUUUUACAAUUUUGUAAUUUUUGAUAAAUUUUAAAAUUAGCUGUUUCUGAAACAUGAAAAUUUACUGUGUGAGAUAUUGUGUAAUGCAUUAAGGAUGUAACAAGUUGAAUUUUGUUGACUUUAUUUUCUGCCCACAUCAGGCACCAGUAUUUUGUGAAUGAUAUCCCCUUUAUAAAUUUGAAUAUUUGGGGUAUUUACAGCAUCUAUGUUAUUACUGUUGCUUACCCUAAAUGAGAUAGCACCUUUAAUUAAUUAACAAUGAGUUAUGUCUAAUUUUUUCACAGUCUUGAAUAAAUGUAGAUCUGCAGGAAAUGUUAUAAUUACAUUGUAAAUGAUUGCAUUUGAACUGGGGGCAUUUGUUUCACAUUAAGCAUCAUAUCAUAUAGAACAAGCUGCAUAAAUCCUGCAUAAUUAUUUUUGUUUAGGAAUAUGGUUCCUGAUCCUAAGUUAGAUUUUUUAAUUCAACUUGUAAUGUCUGAACUAACAGUUUUGCUUUAACAUGAAAUUAUUUAUGGGAUAUUUGUCAUUCAUGACAACAUAAUAAGACUUGCAGCCUUUCUUUAAAUGCUUUUAGAUGUUACCUAUUUGUUUUUGAAUUUUGCAAAAUGAAAGCAUUGAUGCAAAAUUAUAUCAACCCUUAGCCUGUAGAGUUUCUUAAUGGACAUGUCUGGCUUUCAUAUUUUAAAGUGUUUAUUAUCAUUUUGGGUACAUUAUACAUCAGGAUGAAAAGUUAAAGUUAGUGAGACAACAGUGUGGAGCCUGUUCAGUCUCAAUAGCCUGGCUGUAUACUGCUGGCAAAGGCUAAUCACUUGGUUUCAGCAGUGUAAGCGUAAAAUUGGCAUUUAUUUUCCUUAUUUGUAUAUGGUAGAAACUUUAAAAAUCUUCUAUUAAAAAACCCAAAUAGCUAGAGCUUAGAUAUGGGUGUCUACAAAAUUUGUUCAAAUAAAAGCCCUUGGUUCAAAAUUGGCCCCGCCCUAGGGUAUAUGUGUAAAGUAAAAACUUAAAAAUCUUCUUUUAGCUAGAGUUUAGAUACUAAGCAUGAAAUAUCUUCUAGUGAGUGUUAACCAAAUAAAUUUUGUUCAAAUAAAAGCUCGGGGACAAAAUUGGCCCUGCCCAGAAGGGGGUCAUUGUUUUUCCCUUAAUGUGUAUAGUAAAAACUUAAAAAAAAUUAAGAGCUCGAGCUUAGAUAUUUAUCUUGAAACAUCUUCAAAUGGGUGUCUACCAAGUUUGAUCAAAUAAAAGCCCCUGGGUUAAAAUUGGCCUCACCCCGGGGGCCUAUAUACAGGUGAGCGUCUUCAGGGCCAUUAUGGCCCUCUUGUUUUUUUCUUGUGAAUGAUUUUCUAUGUCAUUAUUUGAGAAAUUAUUAAUUAGUUAGCUUACAUACUUGCUGAUAAAGCUUAGAAAUCCUAAAAUAGUUUACUUGGUACAAGUAGAUGAAAACUGAUCUACCUUUAGUGUCUACAUGUAAGUUAUUUCUGAUUAUAUUUGAAGUAAUGCUGGUCACAUGACUAUUGUGGUUAAAAUAAAAACAAAUUUGAAAGAAAUUUGUUAAAUUAUUACCAUUGAUUUACCAAAAAUAAGAUAAUAAUCUGUAGGCUCUUGCUUUGAUUUAAUGCAUAUUUAGUAAACACUGUACAAUGUAACAAUGUGAAUGGGUAUCAUGAUUUCACUGAACAUAGUAACAAUAUGACUGGGUAUCUGACUCAGAAAGUUAAGUAUUAAACCAGUGCUGAAGACACAAAUUGUACUUUAAAACCUGAAAUUAAAUAUGCAUUGCCUACUCAAUAACUAGCUUAUACCAACCUAUAUAUAUUUAGUGUUGGUCAAGUUUGAUCUUGCUGUUAUUCUAUUGUUACUAUUGACUUAGGAUGUUAACUUCAUAGGAAGAGAAAUAUUUGUCAAUUUAUCCCUGUGAUUCUGAGUGACCUUACAGCCAACUUAUGUACUCUUUUUUUUGUUAUGUUUAUGUGAUCAAACCUUGAUACAUUAUAUUUAGGACUGUGGUUAUACAUGUAUGUUAAAUCAAUAAAAUAUUGCAUUUGUAAUUUCAUAUUACACAUUGUUUUGAAAAUCAAGACUUAGAGGUAUGAAAUAAAUUCAUUGAUGAUCUA